GACAGAGGUGCCAAAGCGUUAGGCGGAAUCACUGGGCUUAAAGCGUGUGUAGGCGGAUCGUUAAGUACCUUGUGAAAAUCCCCACGGCUCAACCCGUGGAACUGCUGGGGUAUACUGGGCGGGUCUUGAGCCACCUAGGGGGCAAACUGGAACAAAGCGGUGGGAGCGGGUGAAAAUGCGUAGAUAUCGCUUGGAACGCCAACGGUG
rnacentral:rRNA from 1 species